rnacentral:rRNA from 1 species
AAAAGGGACAUUUGGGGGCAUACGAACUCGGCAGCGAGAGGUGAAAUUCUAAGACCUGCCGAGGUCGAACUAAAGCGAAAGCAUUUGCCAAGAAUGUUUUCAUUGAUCAAGAACGAAAGUUGGAGGAUCAAAAACGAUCAGAUACCGUUGUAGUUCCAACUUUAAACUAUGCCGACUGUAGGGGCCAGUUCGGUAUAUCCGUACUUAUUGACCUCCCAGGGAAACCAUAGUAGGGUUCUGGGGGGAGUACGGUCGCAAGUCUGAAACUUAAAGGAAUUGACGGAAGGGCACCACCAGGAGUGGAUCCUGCGGCUUAAUUUGACUCAACACGGGGAAACUUACCCGGUCCGGACACCGAUAGGAUUGACAGACUAAUCGCUCUUUCAUGAUACGGUGAUGAGUGGUGCAUGGCCGUUCAUAGUUGGUGGAGCGAUUUGUCUGGUUAAUUCCGUUAACGAACGAGACUAAAACCUUCAUUUCGUUUGCCAAUCAUGUUCUACGCUUUUAUCGGCUGAGAGCUAGACUUGAACAAACUAUUUGAAUGGGAUUAACGCCGUAAUCGAAAGGCGUUUGAAAUUUUUCAAUAACAGGUCUGUGAUGCCCUUAGAUGUCCGGGGCCGC